rnacentral:lncRNA from 1 species
GGAAAGGUGCCGAAGACAUGAACUUUGGUCUUCUCUGCAAUCCCUCUGGAGCAUUCAGUGACAACGUCGACUUUGAAGUUGCACUGACCUGGCCAGCCCUGCCACUUACCAGGUUGGCUCUGUAUGGCUAAGAGUUUUCUCCUAAAAUCCCUUGAAAACUGUGAGAAGACCAUAAGAAGAUCAUAUCUUUAAUUCUAUUUCACAAGUCACACAGUAUUCCAGUCAAAUACAGAUGGUUGAUAAAAGUCAUCCAUCUUCCCUCUCCACCCUCCCACAGCCCCUCAACCACUGCCCUGAAACUUAUAUGCUGUUAUCCACAGCUCCGUCUGGAGCAUCACAGCUAUUGUCAACCCUGACGCUCUUUCUGAAAAAACACUGGAUGGACAUCAGAACUAUUUCUUUAAGGAUGUUACUGAGUCACACAGGAAAACUUGCCUUAUGAUUUUGGAUACACGGUUCUGAUUUGACGAAACGUGAUAACUAGAGAAUCACCCAAUCUACUCCCAUUUUCAACUCUAAAUCAUCAGAUUGUCUCAGAUCCAAAGCACACACAGACCAGCCUGGCCAAUUUGGUGAAACUCCACCUCUACUAAAAGUAUAAAAAUUAUCCAGGUGUGGUGGUGGGCGCCUGUAAUCCAAGCUACUUGGGAGGCUGAGGGAGGAGAAUCCCUUGAACCUGGGAAAUGGAGGUUGCAGUGAGCAGAGAUCACACCACUGCACUCUAGCCUGGGCCACAAAUCAACAACAACAACAACAAAAAAACAAAGCGCACACAGAGACUGAGGUCCUCUUUGGCAUUGAGACGAUGGCUAUGCAAGUCCCGACUAGCAAGUGCAAACUUCCCAGCUUCACUUCUGCCAGUGUCCCUUCACCCCUUCUCAACCCCACUGGGAGGCAGGAGGGUGCUUGACAAUAGCCUUGGCAUCACACUGCCAGGGAGUAAUAGGAACUGUUACAAUUCUGAGAUUCUAUAAGUGCUUUGAGAUUUUGGAGUCAGACUACUUGAACUUGAAUCCUGGCCCUCUCAUCAGAGACUUGACUUAUUUUAGGCUGUGGCUUGCCUUUUCACUUCUUGUGUCCUGUUUAAGAAAUAUCUGCUAUCCCAAGCAUCUGGCAUCUUUCUUGACAUACGUAGCAGUUGCUUUUUGACAGCUUGCUUCUGGAGUGAAUGAAUAAAUUAAUAAAUUUAUUCAUUUGAUAUUCAGUGACAUGUGAUAUUCAGUGAUCCAUUUUGCAGAUAACACUAACAAAGUUGACCUUAGAAUUGGAGUGCCCGGGUUAGAACCUUGCUGGUACCACCUGCUUACUGCAUGCUUCUGAUGUGAGUUCAGGAGAAGCCACUGGCAAGGACAGCAAAGAACAGGAGAACACUCUAGCUUCCCUGAUAGCAUUCAAGGUGCUGUCCAAACUGACUGUGAUGGCACCCUCCAGACAGACAGCGAUGCCACAUGUUCAAGAUGGCAGAAUCACUAACAGCUUCAAUUCCUGAAUGACUGCAGAGCAAAAUUUCUUACCCGCAACAUACACUCUAUUUUCAGCCUCCCUGGACUGUUACAUAAUGAUACAUAAAAA